AUUGAACGCUGGCGGCAUGCCUUACACAUGCAAGUCAACGGCAGCACGGGUGCUUGCCCCCGGGGGCGAGUGGCGAACGGGUUAGUAAUACAACGGAACAUGUCCCGUAGGGGGGGAUAGCCCGGGGGAAGCCGGAUUAAUACCGCAAACGAACUUCGGAUGAAAGCGGGGGGCCUUCGGGCCCCGCGCUAUAGGGGUGGCCGAUGGCUGAUUAGCUAGUUGGUGGGGUAAAGGCCUACCAAGGCGACGAUCAGUAGCUGGUCUGAGAGGACGACCAGCCACACUGGGACUGAGACACGGCCCAGACUCCUACGGGAGGCAGCAGUGGGGAAUUUUGGACAAUGGGCGAAAGCCUGAUCCAGCAAUGCCGCGUGUGUGAAGAAGGCCUUCGGGUUGUAAAGCACUUUUGUCCGGAAAGAAAUCCUUGGCCCUAAUACGGUCGGGGGAUGACGGUACCGGAAGAAUAAGCACCGGCUAACUACGUG
rnacentral:rRNA from 1 species